CCACCAGGCCUGUCAGCAGAGUUAAGUCACAGCACAGCUGGCCAAUACUGGAGGAAAGGAGCUGACUCCCAGAGGAGCCGCGAGGUUCGGCCAGCAUCUACCACCAAGAUGGGGACAGGGUACCUGCAGGAUGGGGCCCUGUACUCAUGCCCUCUUGACGCCACCGUGCCCACUGCACGACUGGGACAGUGAAUGGACAGUGCAGCUACCCCAGCCUGAGAAGGAACAGGAAAGGGGGCUCAGAACCUCAGGAACGAGGGAGAUUCAAGGCCCGAGUUCCGGUCCAGCGCAGCAUGGAAAGAGGCAGACUCCGGAAUGCUCUCCCGAGGUUCCGAGGUGCGGUGAAGGCCGUCUGAAAAUGCCGCCCCAAACCCAGCAAGAUUCCCAAGCCACAGUCUACUCACACGUGGUGUCCCAGAAUCUUCCAUCACGGCAUAUGCCUCCAUGAGUGAUCCAUCUCCUGCAAGCAGUCAUGGGGGUUUCCGAUUCUGCUGUGAAAACGUUCCAGUACUGGUGAACAGAUAUACACAUCGCCACUUGGUUCUUAGAACUCUCUUUUAUUGAUAGAUAAAAACAGACCCAAUGGAGCAAGUGGUGCACUCAGGGGAAUCACAGGACCCUACAUCCCUCUUCCCCUUGCCCAUGGCCUUGGUGACUUCCAUUGUUUCCCUUCUCCCCUGGGGAACUGCCAGGAGGCAAGGCCCAGGUGGCCGGCAGAUCGGCUGGGCAGACCCCCUGCCUGAGGUUCUGGCGGCUGCUGCAAGCUGUGCAGGACAAAGGAUGUUGGUGUGCUCCCUGCCUGCAGGUUCUGUGCUAUAACCCGAGGCCAGUGGUGGAAGAGCUCUUAGGAUGAUGGGGGGCGGGGGGAAGCACCCCAGCUGCUGGCCUCCCCAUCACUGCUGCCAACGGCACCCUGCCCCGGGAGAAGCCUGGUGGCACUGCUGGCAGUCCCAUUCCACAGUGGCUGGAAGCACCGAGGGACUCACAGCCCAGGGUGGAGGGAACCAGGAGUAGCCCACGAGGUGUGCCUCUAGGCCGUCUGCUUCC
rnacentral:lncRNA from 1 species